rnacentral:tRNA from 1 species
GCCUGGGUGGUGGAAUUGGUAGACACAAGGGACUUAAAAUCCCUUGGGCCUUGUGCCCGUGCGAGUUCAAGUCUCGCCCUAGGCACCA